UAUGCACUCAGAUAUGAAUAAAAUCCCGAUCUUUUGCAAAAUACAGAUCUGGUACUUGGAACAAUCCACAAUCACUCAAAUUACAAGUUCUGUACAAGAAUGGAGUAAUGCAAGGGGCCACGGAGCCCUCUCAUUAGACGUGAUUCAGAUGUGUUUGAAGCCCAGCCUGGAGAGGGUUACAUAGAAGGAAGGAGGUGAGGAGCCUGGCAGCUGAGAGAGAUUGCAUUUGAGGUGCAGGGUGGGUGGAACCCCACCAUGGAGGUGAAGAUGGUCUACCUGUCCACCCUGUGUUUCAGGGUUUUACACGGAGUGUCUGUUUCGAUGGGGAUCGCCCAUUCCGAAUGCGUCCUCUUCUGCUUGCGGGAGGUGCUCAUCUUCACUGUCUGUGGCUUCAUUUGGCUGAGGUGGUGGGUAUGGUGCAGGCUAUGGCCUUAGUGGCCGGAUGCAACCUUCCUGGAUAACUAGAAUGUUGAGGAUACAGCCUCAUGUGAUCUUGGGACAGUCACAGAGCAUCUUGCUCUUGGGUUCUCAGAGCAUCUGGCUCUUGGGUUCUGGGAGCAGGUGUAUUACAUAGGUGCGAAGGGGAGAUGUGGCCCAGGAGGCAGGGCAGGCUCACUGUAGAAAGAAUGAGGAGGAUGGUGGGGUUAUGACCUGGGAUGCAGGUAAAGCCCCAGAGGUUCAAUAGCAGCCAAUCAUUUGCUUCAAGCUCCCUGCUGCUGGGUGGAUGUGUCAAGCCACCAUGCUGCUGUCUGGAUGUUAGCAUCAGACCCACCCCAGUGACCACCACACUCAGCUCAGAGGAAGCCUUUUUAGACAAGGGCCGGGAUGACUUUGUUUCCUCAGUACCCGAGACCACCCAUCUCAGGGCUCUCCAUUCUCAGCCCCACCAAUGUCCCGGCAGGUUCACAAGUCCAUGCCUGUGACUUAGCCUAGGGAAGAUGGACGGGUCUUAACCUCACAGAGACCUUGCAGAUGUGUGGGGACAGGGGGUAUUUCCAUAUCCUGACAGACAGGUGAUAGUGGGAACAUCCCUGCGUGUUCCUGCCAGAUACCCUGGACCCACAGAUGGUAAGCACGUCUCCCAGGCUCUGGAGCCACCCUCCAGCACGGCAGGCACAGAAGUGGGGCUGCUCAGGAGACACUGGAGCAGAUACCUGGAGAUGAAGUAUCCUGUCUUUAAUUGAUAAUGGGUCAGUGCAGUUUUUUCAUUUUUUUUUAACAGCAUCUUUAUCCCUAUCGAAGCUUAAUAACUACUACCACCCAAACUGGCAGUUGAGAGCUUUCCCUCAGAAGCUGUCCAAAUUCCCUUAGAGGACUGAGUGUUGGAAAUCUUACUAGCAAAUCCUGCUUAUUAACUAGGAGACCAAGACCCUCCUCCUCGAGGGAUUCUUUCCAGACCCCUCUGGGAUUAUGAUUUGCCUAGAGCCAGGCACAGCAUCAUGUACCCCCCAAACCUGCCACACUGUUUGACAUAUCUUCAUACCACGCAGACUGCCUGAACGCUAUUAUUUACACACGUUUUAACUCAAAUAAAUUAUUUUU
rnacentral:lncRNA from 1 species